AGAUGGAGAGGCUGGUGGAGGCGUGCGGAGGAUGGGGGAGGAUGGUAGGGGGUGGUAGGCUGUUUCUCCUGUGUGAGCCAGGCUAAUGAAAGAUGAAUGAGGGAGGCAGUGGUGAGAAGGAGAGUGUGGCUGCGGGCGAUGCCUGGCUGAGCUGCUGUGUGCGCGCGUGUCGGGGUUUUGUGUGUGCGGCGUAGUUGAGCAAGUCUCACAAAAGGGAUGAUGCUGUGUACACAAUAUCGGGAGCAAAUGGUCAACAACAAUAAACACGAAGACACGCUUCUGCGCUCACGCUCGCGGGCGCAUGUAGCCUUAAGUCUCAGCCUGCUGCCACCUGUAAGCAUGCAGUCAAUCAUUAGUACUCGCGCAGCGUCUCCGAAGCCUCGCUCACUUAUUCAGACCUUCCAUCUAUCAAGCUGUCACUCACUCUUUGAACCCGUCUAUCUCACCUUCCGCAUUCUCUGCAAAAUCCCUCAUUUACUGCCUCUCCCUAUCUCCUCCAAUAUCCCACCCUGCCAGUCUAUACCACUUUCCUUCCCUCCGUUUCCAUUUCCUCCUUCUAUCAGCGUUCACCUUUUCUUUUUCUUUUUUUUGUCUGCCUCUAAUUGUUGUGCCGAACAUCCUCAGAGCUGUGGGUGAAACGCACUUAAAACAGCUUGGACGAGAACUCCUUCCCCAGAGUGGAGGGCAGCCAGACAGAGAAGUCAUCCUGAACCCGAUUGCACUUCCUCCGCUCUAUGACUGACUGCCUUACUUCUUUUUUUUUUUUCUUCCCUCCAGACAAAUCACAUGCUUCGCAGUGCCCAAACAAGGCUCUCAUUCUCCCUGCGGUGCCGCUGCUGACAGCGAAUCAGAACUUUUCUUUGACUAGAAAGUCUAAUUCUGUAAAAUUGAAUUUGAUAUCUAAGAUAAAUUAUAGGUGGGACAAAAUCAAUGCAAGUAUAGGACAGUAAAGAAGGAGAUUUAUAUAUAAUUUUUUAAAUGUAUGCCAAGCUCACAUGAUAUUCUACUGCCUUUCCUGAAGGUUUCAGAAAGAUUUUAGCUUUUAAGCCCCUAAAACUAAAUCCAGCUCAAAGGUUUCU
ensembl:lncRNA